CUUCCAGACACGUCAUACCGGCAGGUUCGUCUUCUCAGCUUCCAGACAGGAUCAAAUUGACGCCGUCUGUGGGAACGCGCCUGAUCUGGAACGUGAAGAUGGACGAUGCCGGAGAGUUCUGCCAUUCUCAUGACCCCGAUAUCAACUUGGUCAAUCAAGCAGAACUGGAUUCUGAGUCCACAGAUAAUCGUAGACAAGCAAGCUAUCAGCAUCGGCAUUAAUGGUAGUGGCGGCUACAUUAAAACAUGAAACCUCAGCAAAUUUCAAAGUUUUCAAAGGUUUCGCCGGUUGAACCAAUUGAGAGAACGAUUAAUCGAUUUGGAAACGCACUGAACAGGUUGGGGUUGGCAGAUGAAGACACUCCAGUCUCCCCCAACUUCAGCCUUCGCCAUUUAUAAGUCGACGUUGAAAAUUCCAAGUGACAGGUCGAAAACCGAUCGGGUCCAGCAAGACGAGAAAAUGAUGGGCACCGGGCAAUUCACAAUCAGCUCGCGUUCGGAAGCGGACACGACUCACUCACAAGUCAGGUUGUUACGGUUCUGCCGAAAACCCUUCUUUGCUUAUUGUGAGAUGAGAUAUUCUGUCUCAAAAAUAUUAUGUCUUCAUGUCCCAGCGUCGAUCAGAUUAAUUAAAUUACAUCUCAA